GGGGGUAAUUUAAUAAAUUAUAAAUUAUAAAAAAAUUUUUAUUUAAUAUAUUUUAAUGGGGGUUAAAGUAUUAUGAAAGAAAAAAUUUUAAGGUUUAUAAAGAAUUAGUAUUGUGAAUGAAAAUUGAAAUAAUAUGAAAAUUAAAUAAUAAUUAAGUAAAUUUAAUUUAUUGUAUCUUGUGUAUCAGAGUUUAUUAAUAAAAAUUUUUAUAAAAAAAUUUCUCGAAUUUAAAAGAGUUAAUUAAUUAAAAAUUUUAUUGUUACAUAAAUAUUUAUAAUAAUUAAUUUGAAAUGAAAUGUUAAUCGUUUUUAAAUAUAUCUAGUUUUUUUAGAAAUAAAUUUAAUUUAGAAUUUUUUUUUUUAUUAAUUAAUUUAAUAAUUUAUAAUUAAAAAAAAUUUAAUAUUUUAAGGGAUAAUCUUUAAAUUAAAUUUUUAUAAUUAUUAUUUAUUUUAUAUAUUAAAAUUUUUAAAAUUUAUAUUGUUUAUAAAUUAUAUUUUUUUAUAAAAAUUUUUAUUGAUAAAUAAGAUUUUUAAUUAAAAUUUAAAUUUUUAUAAAAAAAUAAUUUUUAAUUAUUUAAAAUUAGUUGUAAUGAUAAAAUUAGUAUAAAAUAAAUUAAAAUAAAUAAUAUUUUUUUUUAUAAUUAAAAAAAAGGAAUUCGGCAAAAUAAAAUAUUCACCUGUUUAUCAAAAACAUGUCUUUUUGAUUAUAAUUUAAAGUUGAGUCUGCCCACUGAUUUAUAUUAAAGGGCUGCAGUAUAUUGACUGUACAAAGGUAGCAUAAUAAAUAGUCUUUUAAUUGAAGACUUGUAUGAAUGAUUUGAUGAGAUAUUAACUGUCUCUUUUUUAUGAUUAAAAUUUAAUUUUUUAGUAAAAAAGCUAAAAUUUUUUUAAAAGACGAGAAGACCCUAUAGAGUUUUAUAAUUAAAUUGAUUAUAAUUUUUUAUUUAAAUUAUAAUAAUAAUUAAUUUAAUUAUUUUAUUGGGGUGAUAAAAAAAUAAAUUAAACUUUUUUUAAAAAAAUUAAACAUUAAUUAAUGAUUGAUUGAUCCAUAAAUUAUGAUUAAAAGAAAAAAUUACCUUAGGGAUAACAGCGUAAUUUUUUUUUUUAGUUCUUAUAAGAAAAAAAGUUUGCGACCUCGAUGUUGGAUUAAGAUAAAAUUUAAAUGCAAAAGUUUAAAAUUUUGAUCUGUUCGAUCAUUAAAAUCUUACAUGAUCUGAGUUCAAACCGGUGUAAGCCAGGUUGGUUUCUAUCUUUAAAACAAUAAAAUAUUUUAGUACGAAAGGAUCAAAUAUUUAAAAUAAUUUUUUUUUUACUAGAAUAUUAUUAAUAAAUAUA
rnacentral:rRNA from 1 species